UAAGCCUGCCAGGAUCUGCCUUUUAUCAUGUUUACCUCUUCCCAGCAGGCUUUGCUCCUAGCCCUUAGUCAUGUGAUCUGGAAGGAGUGGGAGAAAUCAGGCACAGGUCUAAACUGGGAAUUGAACCUCCUAAAGGUACAGCUUGCCCCCUGCCAUGUACUGGGAGGUCCUUCUUGAGUGCAGCCAGAAAGAAGUUUUAUGAGCUGCAGGCCUGCAUGCUUGAUGCCUUGCCUAUGCAAACGAGGAUGAAAUUCACAAGGAAAGAGGCCAACUGCAUUUUAUUAACAGAGCUAUUUUCUUCUUGUCAUGGACCCAUUCUCAUGUGUCAGCGUCAUGCUUGGAUGAAGAGGAAGCUUUGCUGAGACACAUGUUGGGGAACAAGUGCCGUCAGAGACCAUAGCCUGGGCAUCCCUCCAGCAUGGGCUCUGUGGGCCUCAGAAGGCCAAAGACUCUGAUGCAGUCUGCUGGAUGAACUUUGACGCACGCCCUUGGAUCAGCAGGGCUCUGAGUUUUGCCAGGGGAGCUAUUUCUCAGUGGAUGCCACUGAUGCUCACACCUUCACAGCUGCAAGCAAGGGUGGAGCGUGCUACAUGUUCCUGGCUAACGUCUUGUUGGGUGAGUCAUCGUGUGGGAAGGAACACUACCCUCAGGUAGGCCCCAAAACAGGGGCCUGGCAGGCUGCACUAUGACUCGUGCCACAACGGGAAACCCUGUUCCCAACCCAAAAGCCAUCUCAGCAUCUACGUGAUCUUCCACAGCUGCCAGUGCUAUCCAUAUUUGCUGAUCUGCUACAAAAUGCUCUCGGAUCCCGUGAGGCUGGAUAGCUGACGGCACCGGGAGGAGUAGCCAGGUCAUACGUAAGAGAAACCCUGUCAAGUUCAUAGCAGCUUUGCUAAUCAGAGCUCCGGCCUCUGGGGAGUGUCUGCUUUCUGUCUUUCCAAUCUUCACAACCCUAUAAAAUACUCUUGACAUCCCACACAUAUGCACCAAAUGUGUGCGUCCCCUGUUCUGUUGCAUGCAAAAACCAUCCCAGCUCAUUCACAGAGAAUCCCGUCCUCCACCCCCCCUUCACCUCCCUUCUUAUUGUUGUUGCUUCCAUUGGCAUCAUGGGUGGACCCCUGUAGAAUCCCGCAAGGGUGGACCCCCAAACCCAGGUAGAUGCUAUUCCCUUAGACAGUCAGAAGGGGUCACUGUUCAGUAAGAAGUGUCAUCCAUCCCUCUUUCCUACUCUCUCAUGGGUUCUGAGGAACGUGGUGAAAUUUCCAUUUGUGGCCCCAAAUGCUACUCUUAUAAAAUAUUAUUCUUCCCUCCUCAUCUCUACAUCCUUUCUCACUCUGCAUAAUAUAUGUUUAUGCAUAGAUCAUUGACAGGGGAUGUUGUUAGAGCUCCUGCUCUUUGUUACGUUGAUUAUUGAGUCAAAUUUUACAGAUCCAUUUACUGCUGUUCUUUGUUACCUCUUUUGCUAUGCUUACUUUGGUUCAAAUUCAUUUGCAAUUGUUGUUGUUCUGAUCCUUGCUCAUCUGGACAAUUUUCUGGCCUUUAAUAUAAUUUGAAAUGGGCUGAAAGAAUGAGUGUCUUUAUUAUCCAGGACCAAUUAAUUUGAUCCUCCCUUAAAUCUACUCAAAUCCUUGCGUACAAAUAAUUGCCAUUUAAAAACAGCUCACGUGAUUCACUAGCCUGGUGCAAGGGACAUGUUUCCAUUCUCCAACCUGUGCUAGCCUCCUGAUUCAUCUUCCUGUCUAAAACUGACACUCACCUCCAUCUUCCUUUCCCUUGUCAUACUGCCAUUGGAGACCAUGUCCAAUCCUAGACCUGCAUUGAAUAUUGGCCACCUUACCUCUGAUCUCCAAACUACCCCUGCCUAUGUCAGAAACCCGCCCUGAGUCCCAACCUCUGCCUCUCCUGCCCUCUCUCUGUCAUAACCAACCCUAAAUCCUAUCAUGAGAUAUCAGUUAAUCAAAGUUCUAUGCAUCAGGACAUUAUACAAUUUACCCUUUUAAAAAUAAAGGCUCCUUCUCUAAAGUUCCCACCUGGGCAGGAUUUUCACUCGGGGGAUUUGUGUUCCCCAGUGUGUGAGACAGAACUAUACAAACUCUAAGGAUUUUUGAUCCCUAAGGACACUGGUAGCUGGCUGGGAAGACAGACAGACAGACACUUUGUGCAUCUGCUUCAUUUCUGUAUAUUCUAGUAGCCUAUAAACCUAACAGGCAAAGUUGAAGAGAACCACAAACACCUUUUGGGUCACAGUAAGGGGAGCGCCUUAGAUUUGUCUGUGUCAUUAAAAGCUUCAGGGAGUACCAUUAAGAUAGCUCUGUAAAAACAAAUACCAUAUUUACUCUGACCUGAACCUUCAUGAAAACUGUCCCAAAAAAACAUUUUGUAAAGGAAAAAAAAUGGAUUUCAGUAGAGAGAGAGAGGGCAGAGGAAUUAGAAGAGAGUGUAAACUCUGAACCUGUCCUAUUUGGCAGUGGCUAACUGCUAUUAUGUAUAUUAGCAGAUCAUGUAGCUAGCUACCUAUGGUUUUUCAAACUGCUGCUUCCCGCAGCCCAACAAACUUCAGAAAUGAAAAUGGACCUGGCCAACUUUCCUUCAGUGGGGCACUGAAUUGAACUGAAACUCUGAGCCAUUGGACCUUUUCCCAUCCUGAUUCUAUCCAUCACCUCCUAAUCUUCCAGUCCAGGAUCUAACUGAACCCUUUCUAUGGACUUGAUUCUGCCACUUCCGCUCACGUUCAUUAGCAUUUUACUUUAGGUGUCGACUCAUUGAAAUCAGCAGGACUGUCGGUGUAGUAAGGGACUACCCACUGUAACAAUGGCAGAUUCUGGCCCUGUAUUUCUGUGUAACACCACAGAAUGAAGGGAUCCAUGUAAUGGACUCCUUAGGGUUACAUUGUGCAACCCUUCCUCAUACUCAGUGGAAAUGCUUGUGUGAGAUAAUGCCCAUCAGCCUGAGCGAAGGCUGCACGCUUUGCUCCGUAGCAAGUCCUCUCAGUUGAAUGAACAUUAAAGAUAACCGAAAAGGAGAUGCUUAUUUGAAGACUGUUUUUUGUUCACGAGGGGCUGAAUCUAAAACUCUGGGUUCAUUCAUCCAAGCUUCGGUGACAAUCUGAGCCAGAUCUGAUCUACUUUUCUUGCUUUAGCUCAUCUCAGGUUUUGGUCACUUCCCGCCACUGCUCCAACUCAAAGUAGCCCAGUCUAGAGUAUCCAAAGUUUUCCA